rnacentral:rRNA from 1 species
CACGUAGGGGGCAAGCGUUGUCCGGAUUUAUUGGGCGUAAAGAGCUCGUAGGUGGUUCGGUAAGUCGGGUGUUAAACCCCCAGGCUCAACCUGGGGACGCCACUCGAUACUGCUGUGACUAGAGUCCGGUAGGGGAGCGUGGAAUUCCUGGUGUAGCGGUGAAAUGCGCAGAUAUCAAGAGGAACACCUGAGGUGAAGACGGGUUGCUGGGCUGAUGACUGACGCUGAGGCGCGAAAGCUAGGGGAGCGAACGGG